CCUACGGGAGGCAGCAGUGGGGAAUAUUGCGCAAUGGGCGAAAGCCUGAAGCAGCGACGCCGCGUGAGGGAUGAAUGUCUUCGGAUCGUAAAACUCUGUUAGCAGGGAAGUAAGGUCACUGUGCUAAUCAGCAGUGAAUUGACGGUACCUGCAAAGGAAGCACAGGCUAACUCCGUGCCAGCAGCCGCGGUAAUACGGAGGGUGGGAGCGUUAAUCGGAAUUACUGGGUGUAAAGAGAUCGUAGGCGGUAUGUCAAGUCAAGGGUGAAAGCCCCGCGCUCAACGUGGGAACUGCCUUUGAAACUGGCAAACUUGAGUGUGUGAGAGGAUAGUGGAAUUCCAGGUGUAGGAGUGAAAUCCUUAGAUAUCUGGAGGAACAUCAGGUGCGAAGGCGACUAUCUGGCACAUAACUGACGCUGAGGAGCGAAAGCGUGGGUAGCAAACAGGAUUAGAUACCCGUGUAGUC
rnacentral:rRNA from 1 species